rnacentral:rRNA from 1 species
AUUAGAUACCCCGGUAGUCCUAGCCGUAAACGAUACUCGCUAGGUGUCGGCCACGGUGCGACCGUUGUCGGUGCCGUAGGGAAGCCGUGAAGCGAGCCACCUGGGAAGUACGGCCGCAAGGCUGAAACUUAAAGGAAUUGGCGGGGGAGCACCACAACGGGUGGAGCUUGCGGUUUAAUUGGAUUCAACGCCGGAAAUCUUACCGGGACCGACAGCAAUAUGAAGGCCAGGCUGAAGACUUUGCCGGAUUAGCUGAGAGGAGGUGCAUGGC